UUCUAUUUGGAUUGCAAAAUUCUGUUAGUUUGAUUAUUUAUACACAGCUUUCAGGUUGGUUGAAACUUGUCGAUGACUUUCCAUUUACUUGGCUUCCAGUUCCAGCCAGAAGCAUCCUAUUAGCCUCUCCGUAGGCAGAGAUCAACGAUACAGCAGAUAGCUAGAAGAGGCAACUCUAAUUCCGGAAACAUCGGUGGGGAAGUUUUGCCCGUAACAAGUCGACGUCUUUCCCAUUCAUUUGGCUUCCAGCUUCGGUGAGCAGUAUUAUAACUGCCUGCUCGCAGACACAGAUCUACGAUUCCACAGAGAGUUCGGAAACCAGUUCCGGAAACAUCAAUAGCGGACUUCUGCGCAUAACGAGUGUCUAAUUCCAAUGUUAAGCACAUCCCAGAAAGCUACUAGUGCUAAGGAAUCAACACAGUUUUGCAAUCGGAUACUCCACGCAUUGCUCGAUCUAUUGGACACUGGAGACAAGAUUUUUUUAUGUACAUAAAAAAAAUCUUGACUGGAGAUAAGCAAAAUGAGACGUGUUUGAGUGCCAUUGCUUGUGAUUUUUCUCAUCGCACGAAGUAAAAUUUGGAGGACCUCACAUUGGCGGCACGUCACACUUCAAUGGAUGUUGCAAAAUUUUAAAGGGUUACUGCUAAAAGCUGCAUCCGGAAAUCGAUCACAUUUCCGUACAACUUGCAAGAGGAAGAACGUUCCUUUCACACUGCAUGUUGCUUCGUCUUUCGAUCCGGAAUCGUCGACUUGAAAGUGAAAAGGAAAUAUAGAAUUGGGACGUUGUUAUUAUGUAUCGAAAUUUGUGUCGGAUUGAUAUUAUUUUGUACUAUCGCGAAUGACAGUAAAGUUUCCCUUCAUUGAUCAAGCAGUCGAUUACCAUUAAUUUUCCUAGCUCCGUGUGUUCUUGAUAUGAGGUUGGAACUUCUAGACGCUCUCCAGAUUUGAUCAAAAGCACUAUCGAUCUCCUAGCAGGCGGUGAAGAACGGUAACUAGCUCCCGAACCAUCGAACCAUUGUCAAAGCUGCGAGACCCUCACCUUAAGCACAUUCCUUAGCAGUGAUAGUGCUUCGGAAUCGAAAAGUUCUCCAGCAACAGUUCCAGUUUUGCCAUUGGGUGCUCUUGUAAUGCCCCGGAUUGCUGAUUCCAUUUCGCUAGGUCCCAACUCAUCAUAAUUGCACAGCAUUCGUGUAGGUAACUGACAGCCAUUUAACUAAUCGCAAAAAAACGAGAUCUGUACGACAGCCAUAAAAUUCGGUGGACUGUGCAAGUGGAAUAAUUCAAGUUACUAACAGCUCCAAACGGACGCACAUUUUCGGACAACACCAUCAGAAAGGUCUUGACGAUGUUAGUAAAAUGCAUGCUGCUUCGUUUGAUGCUCUCAAUCAUCAACUGGAAGUGGCCGUUAUGGCAACAAGAAGAACGACAGAGUAUUUCAUUAUAGAAGAAUCGCAAGAAGGAAACGGAACUGAGUGCGAAAGAAGUGUGGUGUGCUGGUACUCCUGUUUGUACCAAAAACUAAUUUGUUUUGCUACUAUAUGCUGCUGCUGAAAUAACUUCUAGAUCGAUUGUUUUCCAGAUCUUUUUGCGCUCCGUUGCUCCAUUUAUUCGAUUGAUGCAACAAUAUACCUCCUUGUCCGGCACAGCUAUACAAUAUCAGCCGAGACAUUUGGCAUGUCGUCAAUAGGGCUUCCAUUCCCGGAAACGAUUUCCCGGGAAAUCAUAUUUCCCGGGAUUCCCGAUUCCCGGGAUUUAUGU